rnacentral:rRNA from 1 species
UACGUAGGGGGCUAGCGUUGUCCGGAAUCAUUGGGCGUAAAGCGCGCGUAGGCGGCCAGAUAAGUCCGGUGUGAAAGUCACAGGCUCAACCUGUGAAUGCCGCUGGAAACUGUCUGGCUCGAGUCCGGGAGGGGCGAGUGGAAUUCCUGGUGUAGCGGUGAAAUGCGCAGAUAUCAGGAGGAACACCGAUGGCGAAGGCAGGUCUCUGGCACUACUGACGCUGAGAAGCGAAAGCAUGGGGAGCGAACAGG